UAGGGAAUAUUAGUAAUGGCGCAAGCCUGAACUAGCAACGCCGCGUGUGCGAAGAAGGCCUUCGGGUUGUAAAGCACUUUUUGAGAGGAUGAGGAAGGACGGUACUCCCAGAAUAAGUCUCGGCUAACUACGUGCCAGCAGCCGCGGUAACACGUAGGAGGCAAACGUUAUCCGGAUUUACUGGGCGUAAAGCGCGUGUAGGUGGUUUGGUAAGUAGGGCGUGAAAGCUCCUGGCUCAACUGGGAGAGGCCGUUCUAAACUGCCGAACUAGAGGAUGGUAGAGGGAGGUGGAAUUCCGGGUGUAGCGGUGGAAUGCGCAGAUAUCCGGAGGAACACCAGUGGCGAAAGCGGCCUCCUGGACCAUUCCUGACACUCAGACGCGAAAGCUAGGGUAGCAAACGG
rnacentral:rRNA from 1 species